rnacentral:misc_RNA from 1 species
UUUUUUUUUUUUUUUGCAGUCCCAUAAUUGCAAUGCACUAUUGCUUUCUGUUUCAGGAGUCUCUCCAAGCCGGCCAUAGCGGAGCCAAGAAGAAAGUGACAAGUACGCUUCCUUCUCCAUUUUCCAAGUCCACCACCCCUGCCUUCCAUCUCAACUCGGUUUCUUCCCUUUUCAACUUCUUAUAUUGCAGUUUCUCUCCAGACACCCUGUCCUCAAAUUUCCCUUCCCUUUUUGGUAGCCACCAAAAUCCUCCAUGUUCAUAUUUUGCAAAUCCUAUCUUCAUCACUUCGCAAUCUUCUUCCUCUUCAUAGUUGUCAAAUUUCUCUCAAUUUCAGUCUCUGGCUACACCUUCUUCCCAGCUGAUUACAUUCUUGUUGACUGUGGUGCCUCUGGCAACUCAACAAGCCUUGAUGGCCGACAGUGGACAGGAGAUGUUGGGUCAAAAUUUAUUUCCUUAAAUGAUUCAAUUGAUACAAGCUCAUCCUCUAAAGCCCUUGAUCUACCCACAUCUGCUUACCCUGUCCCGUACAGGACUGUUAGAAUUUUUCAUUCUCAAUUGAUAUACGCUUUUCAUGUUAGUUCAGGCCAGAAAUUUAUACGCUUGUACUUCAACCCCACUUCAGUCCAGGAGCUCAAUAGGUCUAAGGCCUUUUUCAAUGUUACAACUGGUCCCUUCACCCUCCUUAGUAACUUCAGCCUUUCCUCUUUCGCUGAUUCCUUUGUUAAAGAAUUCUGCAUAAACAUAGGAGAGAAUCAGGUUUUGAAUGUAACUUUUAGUCCUGACACUUCAAAUGGUGCAUAUGGGAUUAUCAGUGGAAUAGAGAUUGUGUCCAUGCCUACUAGUCUUUAUUAUACUGGAACAGGACAUAACAUCGGUCGCUAUCUUCAGAACCACACAGCUCUUGAGAUGAUUCACCGAUUAAAUGUAGGCAGAAGCUCCAUAUUACCUGUAAAUGAUUCGGGCAUGUUUCGGAGCUGGAUUGAAGACAGAUAUUUUGUGUUUAAUUUGCCUUCCACACGAGAAAUUACCAAUAGAACAACUCGCAUCAACUUCACAACAAUCCCUUCUUAUGCUGCUCCAAGAGAGCUCUACCAAACCGCUCGGUCCACAGGCAAAGGGAUGAAUCUUACAUGGAAAUUACCUGUAGAUUCAGGUUUCAAGUAUCUUGUGAGACUCCACUUCUGUGAGCUGCAACUGAAUAAAAAAAGAGGAGACAGGGAGUUCCAAAUUUUCAUUGCUAAUAGAAUGGUCGAACCUUCUGCAGAUAUAAUUAGAUGGACUGGUGGAAACGGAAUUCCAGUGUUCAGAGACUAUAUUGUGAUGCUGCCUAAUCUAAGCCGCAAGAAGAACAACCUCUCUGUUUCUCUUCGUCCCAAGGGCAAAUCAGACCCAAUCCUGAAUGGAUUGGAGUUGUUCAAGAUCAACAAUACAGAUGGCAAUCUUUGUGGACACAACGCUAAAGCUUUCAUUGCUGCAGCUAUACCUAGACCACCAGAUAAGCUAGCUAAGAAAUCCAAGAACACGAAGACAAAAAUCGUUGUAAUUAUUGUUGGAGUUACAACUGUAGUGAUCAUAGUGUUACUGCUUGUGGGCUUCACAAUUUGCUGGCAUUGGAAAAGAGCAAGAUUCGAUGAGGAGAAUAUGAAACCUCAGCCAGAAGGAAUUUGCCGCCGGUUUGCAGCUGAAGAGAUCAGAAAUGCCACCAACAACUUUGACAGAGCUCUGGUAAUCGGUGAUGGUGGGUUUGGUAGAGUAUUCAAAGGUAACAUUGAUAGUGAAAAUACACCAGUAGCCGUCAAGGCUCUGAAGCCAACUUCAAGCCAAGGGUCUCGGGAGUUCUGGGCAGAGAUUGAAAUGCUUUCAAAGCUCCGUCAUCCGCACUUAGUGUCUCUGGUCGGAUACUGCAAUGAUGAACGGCUUAUGAUCCUCGUCUACGACUACAUGGCCCAAGGAACACUCCGUGAUCAUCUUUAUCAUACGCAUAAUCCUCCAUUGUCCUGGAAACAAAGGCUAGAGAUUUGCAUUGGUGCUGCUUAUGGCAUAAAAUACCUUCACACAGGUGCAGAGCAUAGUAUCAUCCAUCGGGAUAUCAAGAGCUCCAACAUUUUACUUGAUGAGAAGUGGGUCCCCAAGGUUUCUGAUUUUGGACUCUCCAGAUUGGGCCCUACAAGCAUGUCUCGCAGCCACGUCACCACAGAUGUGAAGGGUACAUUUGGGUAUUUAGAUCCUGAGUACUAUUUUACCAAUCAUCUGAGUGUAAAAUCUGAUGUUUUUAGUUUUGGGGUAUUGUUAUUCGAAGUAUUGUGUGCCAGACCAGCAGUGGAUAUGAGGCUAGAGGAGGAGCAACAUAGCUUGGUUCUGUGGGCCAGGACGCAUGUUAAAGAAGGAACCCUUGAUCAGAUUAUUGAUCCCAGUCUGACAGGUAAAAUUGCGCCAGAGAGUUUGAAGGUGUACGCAACAAUUGCAGCCAAGUGCUUGCGAGAGCACAGAAAUGAAAGGCCUACAAUGUCAAAGGUGUUGAGGAAACUUGAGCUUGCAUUGAGGCUGCAGGAAUGCGCUGAUGCUGCAGCGGAGGUGGGAAUUUUGCAUAGUGAGCUAAGUUCGCUUCGUGGGAAUAGGGACAACAGUGGUUGUAUAGUGCAUUCUUGUCCAGCAAUUUGGAAGAAAACUUUAUCUCCAAGGGAGCCUUUCAGAUUUUUCAGUUACAGGGCGAGAGUUAAUAAUAAGCUGGCCAAACCAUCUUCUUUACGUGGGCUCAGGGGUUUAAUUUUUGCAAUUCUCGGAUAUAAGUCCUUGUCACGUGAGAAAGGGCAAUCGCCAUGUUCAAGUACGUGUGAGCCAGAUUUGACAUCAGAGAAAAUGUUGAUAGAGAUUAUGGCCUCUCCACCUGCAGAUCAAUAAUGGUUAUGUUAUGUUAGUGGAAAAGAGAUGUUUCAGAGAAUCAAAUGUUUAUAAUUAAUUAAUUAAGAGGUUUUAUGUUUCACGUAAAGAACUAAUCAAUAUGUGCACUGGUGAUAGAAAAUGAGGUAAAGUAAGGGAGUGCUUUCACUUUCGAUUUUUUGCUUUACUUGAAACAAAUCAUUUACAAUUUAAGUGCGCUAUGGAUUCUUUUUCUUCUGACCCGUUGAUGUGAAAUGUCCCAAAAAAUAUAAUUAAGCUGGUAGAAGAUUGGAGAUAUUUCACCGUUG